rnacentral:rRNA from 1 species
CCUACGGGUGGCAGCAGUCGAGAAUCAUUCACAAUGGGGGAAACCCUGAUGGUGCGACGCCGCGUGGGGGAAUGAAGGUCUUCGGAUUGUAAACCCCUGUCAUGUGGGAGCAAAUUAAAAAGAUAGUACCACAAGAGGAAGAGACGGCUAACUCUGUGCCAGCAGCCGCGGUAAUACAGAGGUCUCAAGCGUUGUUCGGAAUCACGGGGCGUAAGGCGUGCGUAGGCUGUUUCGUAAGUCGUGUGUGAAAGGCGCGGGCUCAACCCGCGGACGGCACAUGAUACUGCGAGACUAGAGUAAUGGAGGGGGAACCGGAAUUCUCGGUGUAGCAGUGAAAUGCGUAGAUAUCGAGAGGAACACUCGUGGCGAAGGCGGGUUCCUGGACAUUAACUGACGCUGAGGCACGAAGGCCAGGGGAGCGAAAGGGAUUAGAUACCCGAGUAGUC